GGCCUGAUGGUCUAGGAGUAUGAUUCGUUGUUAGGGUGUUAGUCUUUCGACGAGGUCCCGGGUUCAAUUCCCGGUCAGGCCC